rnacentral:rRNA from 1 species
UACGUAGGGGGCGAGCGUUAUCCGGAUUCACUGGGUGUAAAGGGAGCGUAGACGGCCGUGCAAGCCAGGAGUGAAAGCCCGGGGCUCAACCCCGGCCCGCCGUUGAAACUGGCAGUCUCGAGUUGGAGAGAAGUAUGCGGAAUGCGCGGUGUAGCGGUGAAAUGCAUAGAUAUCGCGCAGAACUCCGAUUGCGAAGGCAGCAUACCGGUGCACAACUGACGCUCAGGCACGAAAGCGUGGGUAUCGAACAGG